rnacentral:rRNA from 1 species
UACGAAGGGGGCUAGCGUUGCUCGGAAUCACUGGGCGUAAAGCGCACGUAGGCGGGUCGUUAAGUCAGGGGUGAAAUCCUGGAGCUCAACUCCAGAACUGCCCUUGAUACUGGCGAUCUCGAGUUCGGGAGAGGUGAGUGGAACUCCGAGUGUAGAGGUGAAAUUCGUAGAUAUUCGGAAGAACACCAGUGGCGAAGGCGGCUCACUGGCCCGGUACUGACGCUGAGGUGCGAAAGCGUGGGGAGCAAACAGG